rnacentral:lncRNA from 1 species
ACUAAAUCUUACAUAGAUAGAGAUUUAAACAAAUUAGGAUUUAUCUGUUAGAUUUAUUCUUUAUCCCAAGUGGACUAGGAAUAUAACAGAUAAUUAUAAAUAAUAAUUCCUUAUCCCAUAUGGAUUAGAAAUAUCUUAGAUAAGUCCCAAUGUGGACGAAUCCUAACAUCUCCCACUCGUACACACUUGGUACUUAUUCAUACUUUCUCAUCCCAAAUAUAUUCUCAUCUCGUUCUGCUCUUCAUACGGGAAAUGGUUGGUGCGAUCAAUAACGAGAAGAAUCAUAAGUGUGGAGUGUUAUAUUAAGCCACCAUCCGAACUAACAUAACACUACAACUCCAAAUCUCGUCUAUACCCCAAAUCACUGAACUACACCAGAUCAUAGCAUCUCUGAUUCCUUAGAGCAAACUAGAUCUCUCUCAUUAAUGUAUUUGUUCUCAUGAUUAUAUUGACAACAAAUAUCAACAUAAUCGCCCGGGCAAUGAGUAACAAAUCAUAAGUGUA